UUUCCGUAGGUGAACCUGCGGAAGGAUCAUUACCGAGUGCGGGUCCCAACGAGCCCAACCUCCCACCCGUGUUUACCAUGACCGCGUUGCCUCGGCGGGCCCACUGGGGCCUGGCUCCGGUCGCCGGGGGGCUCCUGCCCCCGGGUCCGCGCCCGCCGAAGCGCCCUGGAACCCUGCCUGAAUAGUGAGUCUGAGUGAAUGAUUAAAUCAUUAAAACUUUCAACAACGGAUCUCUUGGUUCCG
rnacentral:misc_RNA from 1 species